AUUGAACGCUGGCGGCAUGCCUUACACAUGCAAGUCGAACGGCAGCACGGGUGCUUGCACCUGGUGGCGAGUGGCGAACGGGUGAGUAAUAAAUCGGAACAUGUCCUGUAGUGGGGGAUAGCCCGGCGAAAGCCGGAUUAAUACCGCAUACGAUCUACGGAGGAAAGCGGGGGACCUUCGGGCCUCGCGCUAUAGGGUUGGCCGAUGGCUGAUUAGCUAGUUGGUGGGGUAAAGGCCUACCAAGGCGACGAUCAGUAGCUGGUCUGAGAGGACGACCAGCCACACUGGGACUGAGACACGGCCCAGACUCCUACGGGAGGCAGCAGUGGGGAAUUUUGGACAAUGGGCGAAAGCCUGAUCCAGCAAUGCCGCGUGUGUGAAGAAGGCCUUCGGGUUGUAAAGCACUUUUGUCCGGAAAGAAAUCCUUGGCCCUAAUACGGUCGGGGGAUGACGGUACCGGAAGAAUAAGCACCGGCUAACUACGUG
rnacentral:rRNA from 1 species